CUGUCAUAUCACACAGGAUUGUUUUUGUUGUUAGUAAAAUUGAAUCUGUGUAAAUCGUUUUAUGUUGUUGUCCUUCAUAUUAUUUUGGUUCAACGUUACACUGUUUAGUCUCCUGUUAUGUAGCUAAGCGGUUUGCCGUCGUCAGAUGAGGUCCCAGAUGUGAGGCUUCACCUGCCGCUGUCCUCGGAGAGGUUCGCCUGGAGGGGCACUACAUCUUCUACCUCCUUGGGCUGCCAACGGCCCAGCAUCUCCGGGGACCACUAUGCCUCCAUCUUCCAGUAUGGACCACUAAGCCACCCACCGCCUGCCACCGUCAAGGAAUCUUGUGCCACUUUUCCGCAAGUUAUACUGUAGAAUAUCUAAAUUAUGAACAUUUUUAAAGGACUGUUUUUUAAGGGGCCCCAAAAUGAUUGAUUAUCCAUUCUAGUAUUUCAUAGGAACUGUUAUUUAUUUGAUUGUUAUUUAUUUUUAUAGUAUCCAAAUUUUUAUUUAUUGCUUGUUAAUUUAUUUAAAGUUUAAUAUAACCGUACCAUCCUAUUUAAUUAUUGUUAGGCCUAACAUCCACAGUUACCACUAAAUUUGUAAGUUCAGGAGGGUAAAGUUUUGAGAAAGCUUAAGGUAUUUAAAUAUUUUUGAUAAAAUAAUUCUUUGGAUGGCUGCUUUGUUGUUUAUUGUUGAUUGUUUUUAUUGUUGAAUUUUGAGAUUAAUUAUAGGCUUUGUUGACAA